GACGAACGCUGGCGGCGUGCUUAACACAUGCAAGUCGAACGGAAAGGCCCUGCUUUUGUGGGGUGCUCGAGUGGCGAACGGGUGAGUAACACGUGAGUAACCUGCCCUUGUCUUUGGGAUAACUUCAGGAAAAUGCGGCUAAUACCGGAUAGGAGCUCCUGCUGCACGGUGGGGGUUGGAAAGUUUCGGCGGUUGGGGAUGGACUAGCGGCUUAUCAGCUGGUUGGUGGGGUAGUGGCUUACAAAGGCUUUGACGGGUAGCCGGCCUGAGAGGGUGACCAGCCACAUUGGGACUGAGAGACGGCCCAGAAUCCUACGGGACGCAGCAGUGGGGAGUAUUGCAGAGUGGGCGGAAGCCUGAUGCAGAAACGCCGCGUGCGGGAUGACGGCCUUCGGGUUGUAAACCGAUUUCGCCUGUGACGAAGCGUGCGUGACGGUAAUGGGUAAAGAAGCACCGGCUAACUACGUG
rnacentral:rRNA from 1 species